UACUGUGAAGCCCAGAACAGAAGAGGACGUCAUAACUCCACCUUACAUCUGACUGUUGUGGCAGACAAAUCAACAAUGAUAAUAAACAUCAUCAGGUUGACUCUGGUGGUUGUGACGCUGAUUCCUCUACUUCUGUUUUGUCUGUUGAUGAGGAAGAAGACAACUCUGAGCUCCACCGCUGAAACAAAUGAAUGCAUGGAGACUAUAGAGCUGGAAUCUGAUCAUGUUUAUAUCAGCGCUUCAGCAAACUGUAUGUGACUUUCUACUGAUGCAGUCACAGCAGAGGGGACUCACCUGGAUGGAAACAGAGAGAAGUAUUCCAGUGAGAACGAGGGGCUGUGGGGAAAGUGGAUACAUUUACCUUCAACUCCGAACAUUUUUAGUUUUAGUUUUCAUUAGCAGCAGCAGGCAUUCAGCAGCAGCAUGUAGCAGAAGGUUUAAGUUGAAUUGCAGUUACAGUGGGAAUAACAAGUAUUUGAUACACUGCUGAUUUUGCAGGUUUUCCUACUUACAAAGCAUGUAGAGGUCUGUAAUUUUUAUCAUGGGUACACUUCAACUGUGAGAUACGGUAUCUAAAACAAAAAUCCAGAAA